GACGUAGGGCGCGAGCGUUGUCCGGAUUUAUUGGGCGUAAAGAGCUCGUAGGCGGCUUGUCGCGUCGAAUGUGAAAUCUCAGGGCUCAACUCUGACAUUGCAUUCGAUACGGGCAGGCUAGAGUUCGGGAGGGGAGACUGGAAUUCCUGGUGUAGCGGUGAAAUGCGCAGAUAUCAGGAGGAACACCAGUGGCGAAGGCGGUGGUCUGGGCCGAUACUGACGCUGUAGAGCGAAAGCGUGGGGAGCAAACAGG
rnacentral:rRNA from 1 species